UGCGAUUUGAAAUGAUACAAAUGAUACGUGGCUAAGAAUAAAAUGUCAAAUGUGGCUGAAUAAAGGAAAGACCACGUAAUCCAACUGGGAAUUAAGAAUCAAUUCAAGUUAAUACUCACAAUCUACUUGUUUUACAAUUCAAAUUACGGGCUAUUAUUAAAUGGUAGCCCAAAAAGCAAAAAUAAUUAAAUAAAGCCCAAUAUAUAGAAAAAUAUUUAUUUAGGCCUCAAAAUUUUAUUAGUAUCUUGGAGCACAAAAUUUCUUUUUAUUGCUAAAGUCAUAAUCUAUAAUCUAAAUUUAUUUAUCUAACUAGGGGCGCGACUAAACAUGUUCAUAAAUUCGACUCAUAGAUUUAUAUAUAUUAAUAAUUCUAAAAUAUAAUAAUUUCCAAAUAAAAUUUGCAAAGGAACUAAACGGUUUUGGGCUGUGACAAUAGAUGUACAAGAUAUGAGUGCCUUUGACACGGGAUCUUUUGCUGCUGACUGCUGUUAUAGAUAAAUGUAGUAUUUUUUGCCAUGAUGUAUUUAUCUUUAAAAACAAUGUUUGCAGUAUUUUCUGAUGCUUUUCGAUGCAUUCUUCCAUGGAUACUGGACUCUCUUUUGGUGAGUUAUCUAUAUUAUUUUAGGUGUUUUCUUUUCAGACUUGUUAUUAGUAAGAAGAAAUAUUUCUCUUUUUCCUUUUCAACUUCAAAUCCUUUGCCCAUUUUCUAAUUCUCUUGUUGCUUUAUCAAAUUCACUCUUCCAAUAAGUUGAAGCAGCUGAUGACAAACUAUAGGGUACUCAAGGAUAAGGGAGUACAUGUUCUGGGCUGGAAAUGCAACAUAUUUAGUAAACGACCACAACAAUUCUCAAGGAUGCGCAUACGGUAUUGUGCAUCCAUUUUGGCGUGGGAGGAAAAUGAGGUGAAAAAGGCCGUUGUGGACAAAGCUUCACAUACUUUUGGAGAAAUGUACAAGGAUCCAAAAUUCAAUGUAAAUUCGACGCUACUAGGGUAAAAUUUGGGCACAGAAGAGUCCCAUAAAAAAAUUAUAUUUUUUUGAUGAUUGAAGUCAUUUGAAACAUAUAUUUUAGAUGAUACAAUAAAGUCUGGAUUUUGUGUCAAUUGAUUUUGUUUGACUU